rnacentral:rRNA from 1 species
AUUGAACGCUGGCGGCAGGCCUAACACAUGCAAGUCGAACGAGUGGCGGACGGGUGAGUAAUGUCUGGGAAACUGCCUGAUGGAGGGGGAUAACUACUGGAAACGGUAGCUAAUACCGCAUACCAUCGGAUGUGCCCAGAGGGGAUUGGCUAGUAGGUGGGGUAAAGGCUCACCUAGGCGACGAUCCCUAGCUGGUCUGAGAGGAUGACAAGCUACACGGGAACUGAGACACGGUCAAGACGCCUACGGGAGGCAGCAGUGGGGAAUAUUGCACUAUGGGAGAAAGCGUGAUGCAGCCAUGCCGCGUGUAUGAAGAAGGCCUUCGGGUUGUAAAGUACUAUCAGCGGGGAGGCGGUACCCGGAGAAGAAGCACCGGCUAACUCCGUGCCAGCAGCCGCGGUAAUUC